rnacentral:rRNA from 1 species
CACGUAGGCGGAACAGAAAGUCAGAGGUGAAAUCCCAGGGCUCAACCUUGGAACUGCCUUUGAAACUCCUGUUCUUGAGGUCGAGAGAGGUGAGUGGAAUUCCGAGUGUAGAGGUGAAAUUCGUAGAUAUUCGGAGGAACACCAGUGGCGAAGGCGGCUCACUGGCUCGAUACUGACGCUGAGGUGCGAAAGCGUGGGGAGCAAACA